UGGGGAAUUUUGGACAAUGGGGGCAACCCUGAUCCAGCAAUGCCGCGUGUGUGAAGGAGGCCUUCGGGUUGUAAAGCACUUUUGUCCGGAAAGAAAACGUCGUGGCUAAUACCCGUGGCGGAUGACGGUACCGGAAGAAUAAGCACCGGCUAACUACGUGCCAGCAGCCGCGGUAAUACGUAGGUUGCGAGCGUUGUCCGGAUUUACUGGGCGUAAAGCGCGCGCAGGCGGAUCCGAAAGUCCACGGUGAAAGCUCCCGGCCCAACUGGGGGAGGCCCGUGGAAACUCCGGAUCUUGAAGGCAGGAGAGGCAAAUGGAAUUUCCGGUGUAGCGGUAAAAUGCGUAGAUACCGGAAGGAACACCAGUGGCGAAGGCGAUUUGCUGGCCUGUUCUUGACGCUCAGGCGCGAAAGCUAGGGGAGCGACC
rnacentral:rRNA from 1 species